rnacentral:rRNA from 1 species
CCCAGACUCCUACGGGAGGCAGCAGUGAGGAAUAUUGGUCAAUGGGCUUACGCCUGAACCAGCCAAGUCGCGUGAGGGAAGACUGCCCUAUGGGUUGUAAACCUCUUUUGUCAGGGAGCAACGCCGGCUACGUGUAGCCGGACUGAGAGUACCUGAAGAAAAAGCAUCGGCUAACUCCGUGCCAGCAGCCGCGGUAAUACGGAGGAUGCGAGCGUUAUCCGGAUUUAUUGGGUUUAAAGGGUGCGCAGGCGGUCUGUUAAGUGGGGGGAAAAAGCCGGGGGCUCACCCCCGGCGAGCCGUUGAAACUGGCGGGCUGGAGUUGGAGAGAAGUACGCGGAAUGCGCGGUGUAGCGGUGAAAUGCUUAGAUAUCGCGCAGAACCCCGAUUGCGAAGGCAGCGUACCGGCUCCACACUGACGCUGAGGCACGAAAGCGUGGGUAUCGAACAGGAUUAGAUACCCCUGUAGA